UACGAAGGGGGCUAGCGUUGCUCGGAAUCACUGGGCGUAAAGCGCACGUAGGCGGAUUGUUAAGUCAGGGGUGAAAUCCUGGAGCUCAACUCCAGAACUGCCUUUGAUACUGGCGAUCUCGAGUCCGGGAGAGGUGAGUGGAACUGCGAGUGUAGAGGUGAAAUUCGUAGAUAUUCGCAAGAACACCAGUGGCGAAGGCGGCUCACUGGUCCGGUACUGACGCUGAGGUGCGAAAGCGUGGGGAGCAACAGG
rnacentral:rRNA from 1 species